rnacentral:tRNA from 1 species
GGGGACAUAGCUCAGUGGUAGAGUGCUUGCCUUGCAUGCACAAGGCCCUGGGUUCAAUUCAUAGCCCCCCCC